rnacentral:ncRNA from 1 species
GGUCGCUCGGUCGCUACGUAGCGACCGAGCUUUGGCUCAGGUUUGGUUGCAGCAUAGCGAUCGGACGGCGUGUAUACGUGGUGACCGAGCUUGGUUUGUUCGGUUUGAAUCCCAAAGGAUACUUUUUCGUAAAAACUUCGUAUUGGUUACUUUUACGAAAAUUACAUCUCUUCUUUUACUAUCUCUUUCGGAAAUACGAUCUCCGAGGAUUUUCGGGUGGUAAUUCCGUCGUAACCGUUUUUGACCCCAACACUCUCUACGUUUUUUCUCUGAGUAUUUUACUUUGGAAUUGGAUAAUUAAAUCGACCAGAGAGCCCCCAUAUUUAUAGAAAACGAGGGGGUAAGUCUUGCCCCAUGAACAGGCAUGACUUGCUAGCGAAUGGGCACCAUCGGCCAAGGGUUGUCCCCUUUCGGCCACUUGCAUCCCUUCGCCCUUUCUCAUUGGGUUUGGGGUCGGUCACAAGCCCAACCCACGCCCCAAGCCUCCUGGACUUAGCCCACGGCCUUGUCCAAAGACCCAACAGCCCAUGGCCUCAUGGCCGGACCUCACAGCCCACCACUGACCCAGACCCGGACCAUCGGCCUAAAGCUCGGACAGUCCGUCUAGCUGAGAUGAGCUGACUCUCAGCUGCCUCAGCUGAGUGAGCUAGUAGUCCAGCUAGUGGAUCUGACUUAGUAGGGACUGAGCUGGAGUGAACUGAACCUAACUUCAUUGAGCUGGCCGAGCUACUCGUUCACUUCGUCCUGUUACCGUCUUACUCGUCCUAGCUGUCUCCUAGCUUGUAUAAGGUUAAGUCUAAGUUUCCUUAUGUCCUUAACCUUCUUUCUCGACCAUGGAAUGCUUGCCUUGAUGUUCUAAGACUGGCUUGCACGCUUUCUCGAACCAUGGCCGUCCCAACAAUCCUAUUCAGGAUUGGGGGCGUGACAAUGAGUACUCUGAUAUUUGACUAGUCAGGUCUAACACAACGUUAGGUCAUAGUACGGGUUGAAAAGCCUUAGGCCUCAAUCAACGGAAAACGCUAACUUUAGGUACGGGUUGCAAAGCCUUGUGCCUUGACGCAGCGGGACAGUUAGUGGAUGAACUGUUCUAGGUCGUGGAGUAAAUUUUGUUACUCUGACCGGAUCGUCCCUAGCCCGUCACGUAGCGCUUCUGGACCAUGGUGUUGGGUUGGACGGUCAGUCAUGUUCUUGCUUGAUUGUUGGCUGGCCGGUUGGCUCAAUCAUCUCCAACCCUGGGUGUUGGACAGUCGAUCGGUCAUGUUCUUGUUUGAUUGUUGGCCGGUUGAUCGACCAUACGUCUAGGACGGUUUGGGGGUGUAACAGUCGGGGGCAUUCGUAUUUCAUAGUCAGAGGUGAAAUUCUUGGAUUUAUGAAAGACGAACAACUACAAAAGCAUUUGACAAGGAUGUUUUCAUUAAUCAAGAACGAAAGUUGGGGGCUCGAAGACGUUUAGAUACCGUCCUAGUGUCAACCAUAAACGAUCCCGACCAGGGAUCAUCGGAUGUUGCUUUUAGGACUCCGCUGGCACCUUAUGAGAAAUCAAAGUUUUUGGGUUCCGGGGGGAGUAUGGUUGCAAGGAUGAAACUUAAAGGAAUUGACGGAAGGGCACCACCAGGAGUGGAGCCUGCGGCUUAAUUUGAUUCAACAUGGGGAAACUUACCAGGUUCAGAUAUAGUAAGGAUUGACCGAGAGAGAGCUCUUUCCUGAUUCUAUGGGUGGUGGUGCAUGGCCGUUCUUAGUUGGUGGAGCAAUUUCUCUGGUUAACUCAAUUAACGAACGAGACAUCAGCCUGCUAACUAGCUACAUGGAGGCAUCCCUUCACGGCCGGCUUCUUAGAGGGACUAUGGCCGUUUAGGCCAAGGAUGUUUGAGGCAAUAACAGGUCUGUGGUGCCCUUAGAUGUUUUGGGCCGCACGCGCGCUACACUGAUGUAUUCAACGAGUUCACACCUUGGCCAACAGGCCCGGGUAAUCUUUCAAAUUUCAUCGUGAUGGGGAUAGAUCAUUGCAAUAUUUGGUCUUCAACGAGGAAUUCCUAGUAAGCGCGAGUCAUCAGCUCGCGUUGACUAUGUCCCUGCCCGUUGUACACACCGCCCAUCGCUCCUACCGAUUGAAUGAUCCGGUGAAGUGUUUGGAUCAUGGCGACGUGGGUGGUUUGCCGCCUACGACGUCGCGAGAAGUCCACUAAACCUUAUCAUUUAAAGGAAGGAGAUGUCGUAACAAGGUUUCCGUAGGUGAACCUGCAGAAGGAUCAUUG